rnacentral:rRNA from 1 species
GACGAACGCUGGCGGCGUGCUUAACACAUGCAAGUCGAACGAAGAGCGAUGGAAGCUUGCUUCUAUCAAUCUUAGUGGCGAACGGGUGGGUAACGCGUAAUCAACCUGCCCUUCAGAGGGGGACAACAGUUGGAAACGACUGCUAAUACCGCAUACGAUCUAAUCUCGGCAUCGAGGGUAGAUGAAAGGUGGCCUCUACAUGUAAGCUAUCACUGAAGGAGGGGAUUGCGUCUGAUUAGCUAGUUGGAGGGGUAACGGCCCACCAAGGCGAUGAUCAGUAGCCGGUCGGAGAGGAUGAACGGCCACAUUGGGACUGAGACACGGCCCAGACUCCUACGGGAGGCAGCAGUGGGGAAUCUUCCGCAAUGGACGAAAGUCUGACGGAGCAACGCCGCGUGAGUGAUGACGGCCUUCGGGUUGUAAAGCUCUGUUAAUCGGGACGAAAGGCCUUCUUGCGAAUAGUGAGAAGGAUUGACGGUACCGGAAUAGAAAGCCACGGCUAACUACGUG